rnacentral:rRNA from 1 species
GUGGGGAAUCUUGCGCAAUGGGCGAAAGCCUGACGCAGCCAUGCCGCGUGAAUGAUGAAGGUCUUAGGAUUGUAAAAUUCUUUCACCGGGGAAGAUAAUGACGGUACCCGGAGAAGAAGCUCCGGCUAACUUCGUGCCAGCAGCCGCGGUAAUACGAAGGGGGCUAGCGUUGCUCGGAAUUACUGGGCGUAAAGGGCGCGUAGGCGGACAGCUUAGUCAGAGGUGAAAGCCCAGGGCUCAACCUUGGAAUUGCCUUUGAUACUGGCUGUCUUGAGUUUGGGAGAGGUGAGUGGAACUCCGAGUGUAGAGGUGAUAUUCGUAGAUAUUCGGAAGAACACCAGUGGCGAAGGCGACUCACUGGCCCAAUACUGACGCUGAGGCGCGAAAGCGUGGGGAGCAAACAGGAUUAGAAACCCCUGUAGUCC